rnacentral:ncRNA from 3 species
AAGACCCUGUUGAGCUUGACUCUAGUCCG